UUUGAUCCUGGCUCAGGAUUAACGCUAGCGGCAGGCCUAAUACAUGCAAGUCGAACGGCAGCGGGUGUAGCAAUACAUGCCGGCGAGUGGCGCACGGGUGCGUAACGCGUAUGCAAUCUACCUGUAACUGGGGAAUAGCCUUCCGAAAGGAAGAUUAAUACCGCAUAAUAUCAUGAAGUGGCAUCAUUUUAUGAUCAAAACUCCGGUGGUUACAGAUGAGCAUGCGUGACAUUAGCUAGUUGGUGAGGUAACGGCUCACCAAGGCUACGAUGUCUAGGGGGUCUGAGAGGAUGAUCCCCCACACUGGUACUGAGACACGGACCAGACUCCUACGGGAGGCAGCAGUAAGGAAUAUUGGACAAUGGCCGCAAGGCUGAUCCAGCCAUGCCGCGUGCAGGAUGAAGGUGCUCUGCAUUGUAAACUGCUUUUGUUCGGGAAUAAACCCUUUCACGUGUGAGAGGUUGAAUGUACCGAAAGAAUAAGGGACGGCUAACUUCGUGCCAGCAGCCGCGGUAAUACGAAGGUCCCAAGCGUUAUCCGGAUUUAUUGGGUUUAAAGGGUGCGUAGGCGGGUUAUUAAGUCAGUGGUGAAAGCUCCCAGCUCAACUGGGAAACUGCCAUUGAUACUGAUAGUCUUGAGUAUGAUUGAAGUGGGCGGAAUGUGUCAUGUAGCGGUGAAAUGCUUAGAUAUGACACAGAACACCGAUUGCGAAGGCAGCUCACUAAGCCAUAACUGACGCUGAUGCACGAAAGCGUGGGGAGCAAACAGGAUUAGAUACCCUGGUAGUCCACGCCCUAAACGAUGAUCACUCGAUGUGUGCGAUAAACUGUACGCGUCCAAGCGAAAGCAUUAAGUGAUCCACCUGGGGAGUACGACCGCAAGGUUGAAACUCAAAGGAAUUGACGGGGCCCGCACAAGCGGAGGAGCAUGUGGUUUAAUUCGAUGAUACGCGAGGACCUUACCAGGGCUUGAAAGUU
rnacentral:rRNA from 1 species